UUAAAGAGGAAAAGCAACUUCUAUUUAAGACAACAAAUCUAUUAGAGACCUAAUUGCAAAAAUGAAGAGAGUUUUAGGGGUUAAUUUGUAAUUAUCAGAAAAGAUUAGGGGUCAAAAUUGAAGAAAAUAAAAGUCCAGGGACCUAUUUGAAAUUAAAUUAGGGACCUAAUCGAAAGAAAAAAAGUUUUAGGGACGUAACAUAAUUAAUGAAAAGUAAAGGGACCAUUAUGCAAAACGUUUUCUGGUUCCUUGGUGAAUCAGGCCACUGGGCCACUUUAUUUCUUUUCUUAGUCCGAAACUCCCUUAGCCCAAGGCAAAAUCCAAGCAAAAUGUACGGGCCAGACCGUAAUCUUACCCCAACAAAUCCAAUCAAAAGGGUAGGCUUUUACCUCCUAAGCCCAAACGAAAAACCCAAGUAAAUUAAACCAAACCCAUUUACUAAACCCAACCAGAUUCUCAACAUUAAUCUGGCCCAAAAGCCCUAAGAAAAUAUUAACCCAAAUCUUAAUUUAUUUACCAAUCCAAGAGGGUAAUAAAUCUAAAAAAAAAUUGCUGGACCUUAAUCAUGCAUUGAAUUCCAAGAUUAAUCUACACAACAAGUCACAUAUCACAAUCAGAAGAAAAUUAAAUUUUAAAAGGGCAAAAUUGGUUCAAUUACUAAAGUAUUUGGGCCAUAAUGAAAUUAAUUAAAAUUUGGGGAUCAAAAAGCAAUUAUUGAAGAGAACAUGCAGCCUGUACGAAGAAGCUUUCUUCUCCAACAUUUUCCUUCUGCAACUCUCUUUUCACCAUUUCUGGGUUCCAUUUCCACCAAACGCACGAAACAAGUUCCCAAACAAACUAGCACUUAUAACUUAUGUAAUUUAUUUCACAACCUAAUGCUAAACAUAAACAGGAACAUGCCAUAAUCAAGAAGAUAAUCUGAAAUCAGGCAUAGUAGAAACAUGAAGCAAACCCAGCAGCGACAAAGUUCCAAACUCACGUCCAAAGGGUCUUGUUCUUCAUAAAAUGUGUUAAACCAAGCAAGAAAGACUGUUAUGGUUACCUGAGGAAGCUUUAAAACCAGAUUUGAGCAGGAAAAACACCGAUGGAAGCAGAUCUGACGGAGCUCUACACCAGGUUGCGGGUUGAGCCGCGUGUGUUGAAGCUGCAACUUUGGAGCUUCGAUUUGGUCACCUCGAAGGCGUUUUCACUGAACGAUUUCUGAACAAAAUUUGUUCCCAAGUAUACGUAGAAGGUGAAGAAAUAGAAAUCUCGCUCUAAGAGUUGGAGAUUAGAUUGUAAUUUGACCGGAAAUAAAGCCGUUUCGCUAACUUUGCCGACGAAAAUUUUUUGCAGAAAUUUUUCUCCUCCUCUUUCUCUCAAUUUCUCCCCUUUCUCCCUGUUUUUUCUCCCUAUCUUCCUUGUUCCGCCGCCACUCCCUUUCUUGGCUGCCUUUCAUUCUUUUAUAGCUAUAAAAUCCCCCCACAACCUAAAAUUAAAGGAGGAGAUUGGAGCUGCAUUUUUCUUCCAAUUUUCUGAGCCAUCCGAUGGCCUCUGUUUUGGAGAAAUCUUGAUAGAAAUCAAAAGGGGUGAGCUGGCAAAUGGUUGAGGAGAAGAAAAAAACAAAAAACGAGUGGAUUUGGAGGCCAAAAAUGGCCUCUGCCAAAUUUUUGCUGUAAUCCCCGUUCAU
rnacentral:lncRNA from 1 species